rfam:Aureobasidium pullulans var. melanogenum CBS 110374 unplaced genomic scaffold scaffold_3, whole genome shotgun sequence.
GCCUUAAUGGUCUAGCGGUAUGAUUCCUGCUUUGGGUGCAGGAGGUCCCUGGUUCAAUUCCGGGUUGAGGCC